GCCUGGUUAGAUGAGUGACCUCAAACCAAAGCGCCAGACCUCUCAUCUGGAGAUCGUGGGUUCGAAACCCACCCUCGGCU
rnacentral:tRNA from 1 species